rnacentral:rRNA from 1 species
AGAGCGAACGCUGGCGGCAGGCCUAACACAUGCAAGUCGAGCGCCCGUAGCAAUACGGGAGCGGCAGACGGGAUAGUAACACGUGGGAACGCGCCCUUCGGUUCGGAAUAACUCAGGGAAACUUGAGCUAAUACCGGAUACGCCCUUACGGGGAAAGAUUUAUUGCCGAAGGAACGGCCCGCGUCCGAUUAGCUAGUUGGUGAGGUAAUGGCUCACCAAGGCGACGAUCGGUAGCUGGUCUGAGAGGAUGACCAGCAUCACUGGGACUGAGACACGGCCCAGACUCCUACGGGAGGCAGCAGUGGGGAAUAUUGGACAAUGGGCGCAAGCCUGAUCCAGCCAUGCCGCGUGGAUGAUGAAGGCCUUAGGGUUGUAAAGUCCUUUUAACGGGGAGAUAAUGACGGUACCCGUAGAAUAAGCCCGGCUAACUUCGUGCCAGCAGCCGC